AUGGCGCGCGUCCGCGUCGGCCGUCGGAGUCGAGUAGGACGUCUCGCCGGCUCCCUCCAACUCCAGUGUUGCUUUCCUGCCCUGCGCGGGAGGUGUUCGCCUGUGUGGUGGACUGGUGGGUGCAAGGUUGGGGUGGCCAGAUCAGCACCAUGGUGCCUCUGCCUGCCGUCGUCACUAAUGGACGCCGUGGAGGGGAGCCGCUACCACUGGAGGCAGCCGCUCAAGGCGCCGUCCAUCUUCCGCCACCAGGCGGAGGUCCGCCUGCAUCCGACUCUCCUCGCCGGCACAGUCGCGUUGGUGGGGCAACGAUGGUGGCGGCAGAGCUUGCGUCCGAGCUACACGCAGAGAAACAGAGGGGAGGUGGGGCGCUCCUCGUUCCUGCGCUGCACACUGGAUUCGUCCUGA
rnacentral:rRNA from 1 species